UCGUCACACUAUCAUUAACUGAAUCCAUAGGUUAAUGAGGCGAACCGGGGGAACUGAAACAUCUAAGUACCCCGAGGAAAAGAAAUCAACCGAGAUUCCCCCAGUAGCGGCGAGCGAACGGGGAGGAGCCCAGAGCCUGAAUCAGCAUGUGUGUUAGUGGAAACGUCUGGAAAGGCGCGCGAUACAGGGUGACAGCCCCGUACACAAAAGCGCAUGUGCUGUGAGCUCGAUGAGUAGGGCGGGACACGUGGUAUCCUGUCUGAAUAUGGGGGGACCAUCCUCCAAGGCUAAAUACUCCUGACUGACCGAUAGUGAACCAGUACCGUGAGGGAAAGGCGAAAAGAACCCCGGCGAGGGGAGUGAAAAAGAACCUGAAACCGUGUACGUACAAGCAGUGGGAGCACAGGUUUACCUGUGUGACUGCGUACCUUUUGUAUAAUGGGUCAGCGACUUAUAUUCUGUAGCAAGGUUAACCGAAUAGGGGAGCCGGAGGGAAACCGAGUCUUAACCGGGCGUUAAGUUGCAGGGUAUAGACCCGAAACCCGGUGAUCUAGCCAUGGGCAGGUUGAAGGUUGGGUAACACUAACUGGAGGACCGAACCGACUAAUGUUGAAAAAUUAGCGGAUGACCUGUGGCUGGGGGUGAAAGGCCAAUCAAACCGGGAGAUAGCUGGUUCUCCCCGAAAGCUAUUUAGGUAGCGCCUCGUGAAUUCAUCUCCGGGGGUAGAGCACUGUUUCGGCUAGGGGGUCAUCCCGACUUACCAACCCGAUGCAAACUGCGAAUACCGGAGAAUGUUAUCACGGGAGACACACGGCGGGUGCUAACGUCCGUCGUGAAGAGGGAAACAACCCAGACCGCCAGCUAAGGUCCCAAAGUCAUGGUUAAGUGGGAAACGAUGUGGGAAGGCCCAGACAGCCAGGAUGUUGGCUUAGAAGCAGCCAUCAUUUAAAGAAAGCGUAAUAGCUCACUGGUCGAGUCGGCCUGCGCGGAAGAUGUAACGGGGCUAAACCAUGCACCGAAGCUGCGGCAGCGACGCUGAUGCGUUGUUGGGUAGGGGAGCGUUCUGUAAGCCUGCGAAGGUGGCCUGUGAGGGUUGCUGGAGGUAUCAGAAGUGCGAAUGCUGACAUAAGUAACGAUAAAGCGGGUGAAAAGCCCGCUCGCCGGAAGACCAAGGGUUCCUGUCCAACGUUAAUCGGGGCAGGGUGAGUCGACCCCUAAGGCGAGGCCGAAAGGCGUAGUCGAUGGGAAACGGGUUAAUAUUCCCGUACUUGGUGUUACUGCGAAGGGGGGACGGAGAAGGCUAUGUUGGCCGGGCGACGGUUGUCCCGGUUUAAGCGUGUAGGCUGGUUUUCCAGGCAAAUCCGGAAAAUCAAG
rnacentral:rRNA from 1 species